GGAGAGAUGCCCGAGUUGGCCGAAGGGGCGCGACUGGAAAUCGCGUGUGGGACCACAAGUUCCACCGUGGGUUCGAAUCCCACUCUCUCCGCCA
rnacentral:tRNA from 2 species